UACGUAGGCAGCGAGCGUUGUUCGGAGUUACUGGGCGUAACGAGUGCGUAGGCGGUUUUCUAAGUUUGGUGUGAAAUCUCCCGGCUCAACUGGGAGGGUGCGCCGAAGACUGGAAGGCUUGAGUAUGGGAGAGGUAAGCGGAAUUCCUGGUGUAGCGGUGAAAUGCGUAGAUAUCAGGAGGAACACCUGCGGUGUAGACGGCUUACUGGACCAUAACUGACGCUGAGGCACGAAAGCGUGGGUAGCAAACAGG
rnacentral:rRNA from 1 species